rnacentral:lncRNA from 1 species
GGCACCAGAGUGAGAUGCAUGCACGCUCUCUCUCUCUCCCUUUCUCUCUCUCUCUCUCUUUUUCUUUCUCCCUCUCCUCACCCCCAAGCACAGAAGAAAGGCCAUGUGAAGAUAAGAUGAGAAGACAGCCAUCUACCAGCCAGGAAGAGAGGCUUCACCAGACACCAACCCUAAAGGCACCUUGACCUUGGACUUCCAGCUUCCAGGACUGUGAGAACGCAAAUGUCUGUGGUUUAGGCCAUCCAGUCUGUGAUACCUUGUUAUGGCAGUCCAAGCCCCAGUGAAGUCAGACAGUCCGGCUGGGUUCUAAUCUCUACUCUAUAUUACAGGAGUUAUACGGCCUUGGGAAAGUCACUUAACUGCUCUGAACCUUAACUUUCUUAUCUGUUGAAAGGGCCCGCUUCACAGGGCUGCUGUGAAGAUGGAAUGCCCUAUGGCAGGGACCCCGCAUAGUGUCCAGCACAGAGGGCACCACAGAGGGCUCAACAACCACAUGGGCCCUCUGAAAGACUUAUUCAUUAAAAACAUGACCACUCUGCACUUUGGGAGGCCGAGGCGGGUGGGCAGAUCACCUGAGGUCAGGAGUUCGAGACAAGCUUGGCCAACGUGGUGAAACCCUGUCUCUACUAAAAAUACAAAAAUUAACUGGGCAUGGUGGUGGGUGCCUGUAGUCCCAGCUACUCAGGAGGCUGAGGUGGGAGGAUUGCUUGAACCUGGGAGGCCGAGGUUGCAGUGAGCCGAGAUUGCGCACUCCAGCCUGGGUGACAGAGUAAGACUCUGUCUAAAAAAAAAAAAAUUACUCUCCUCUCAAAGACUUACAAUCUCUGAAGACAGAGCAGGCCUGCAAUUGUAAUUGUGAGUAAUAGGGAAAACUCCUCUGCUUUCUUCCUGUGGAGGAGCCAUCUCUUGGCCACCGGAACACAGGAAUAUUUGUUGAGUGAAGGGAACACGAUGCAGAGUCCAAAGGGGUGAUUCAGACCUGGGUUUCAGUCCUACCCAUGCCCACAGUUCCCCAGUUCCCUGUUUUCUCUGGGGGAGCUCCCGGCAACUGCCGCAAUGAGGCAACUGGGAAAUCCCUUUGUUGGCUGGGCAAGGUGGCUCACACCCAGCACUUUGGGAGGCCAAGGCUAGUGGAUUGCUUUGAGCUCAGGAAUUCGAGACCAGCCUGGGCAACAUGGCAAAACCCUCUCCCUACAAAAAUACAAAAAUUAGCUGGGUGUGGUGGCAUGCACCUGUGGUCCCAGCUACUUGGGAGACUGAGGCUGGAAGAUCGCUUGAACCCAGGAGGCAGAGGUCACCGUGAGCUGAGAUCGUGCCACUGGACUCCAGCCUGGGUGACAGAGUGAGACCCUGUCUGAAAAAAAAAAAAAAGAAAAGAAA